UACGUAGGUGGCAAGCGUUGUCCGGAAUUACUGGGUAUAAAGGGAGCGCAGGCGGGGAGACAAGUCAGCUGUGAAAUGCAUAGGCUUAACCUAUGAAUUGCAGUUGAAACUGUUUUUCUUGAGUGGAGUAGAGGUAGACGGAAUUCCGAGUGUAGCGGUGAAAUGCGUAGAUAUUCGGAGGAACACCAGUGGCGAAGGCGGUCUACUGGGCUCUAACUGACGCUGAGGCUCGAAAGUGUGGGGAGCAAACAGGAUUAGAUACCCU
rnacentral:rRNA from 1 species